rnacentral:rRNA from 1 species
UACGUAGGCAGCGAGCGUUGUCCGGAUUUACUGGGCGUAAAGAGCGCGUAGGUGGGAGAGCAAGUCCGGUGUGAAAGCCCCCGGCUCAACCGGGGAAGGUCGCUGGAAACUGCUCUUCUUGAGGUGGACAGAGGGAAGUGGAAUUCCUGGUGUAGCGGUGAAAUGCGUAGAUAUCAGGAGGAACACCCAUGGCGAAGGCAGCUUCCUGGGUCCAAUCUGACGCUGAGGCGCGAAAGCGUGGGGAGCGAACAGG